rnacentral:rRNA from 1 species
GAUGAACGCUGGCGGCGUGCCUAAUACAUGCAAGUCGAGCGAACAGAUGAGGUGCUUGUUCCUAUGACGUUAGCGGCGAACGGGUGAGUAACACGUGGAUAACCUACCUUUAAGCCUGGGAUAACUUCGGGAAACCGGUGCUAAUACCGCAUAAAAUAUUUAACCGCAUGGUUCAAUAGUGAAAGAUGGAAUUGCAGUCCUUUAUAGUUGGCUCCGCGCCGCUUUAGCUAGUUGGUAAGGUAAGGGCCUACCAAGGGAACGUAGCGAAGCGGACCUGAAGGGGUGAUCGGCCACACUGGAACUGGAACACGGUCCAGACUCCUAGGGAGGGCGGCGGUGGGGAAUCUUCCGCAAUGAGCAAAAGCCUGACGGAGCAACGCCGCGUGAGUGAGGAAGGUCUUCGGAUCGUAAAACUCUGUUAUUGGGGAGGAGGAAAUGUGUAAGUGACUAUGCACGUCUUGACGGUACCUAAUCAGAAAGCCACGGCUAACUACGUG